rnacentral:rRNA from 1 species
UACGUAGGUGGCAAGCGUUGUCCGGAUUUACUGGGCGUAAAGGAUGCGUAGGUGGAUAUAUAAGUGGGAUGUGAAAUACCCGGGCUCAACUUGGGUGCUGCAUUCCAAGCUGUAUAUCUAGAGUGCAGGAGAGGUAAGUGGAAUUCCUAGUGUAGCGGUGAAAUGCGUAGAGAUUAGGAAGAACACCAGUGGCGAAGGCGACUUACUGGACUGUAACUGACACUGAGGCAUGGAAGCGUGGGGAG